rnacentral:rRNA from 1 species
ACGCGUGGAACCUUACCAGGUCUUGACAUCCCACUGACCGCUAUGGAGACAUAGUUUUCCCUUCGGGGACAGUGGUGACAGGUGGUGCAUGGUUGUCGUCAGCUCGUGUCGUGAGAUGUUGGGUUAAGUCCCGCAACGAGCGCAACCCUUGUUCUUAGUUGCCAUCAUUUAGUUGGGCACUCUAAGGAGACUGCCGGUGACAAACCGGAGGAAGGUGGGGAUGACGUCAAAUCAUCAUGCCCCUUAUGACCUGGGCUACACACGUGCUACAAUGGACGGUACAAACGGUUGCCAACCCGCGAGGGGGAGCUAAUCCGAUAAAACCGUUCUCAGUUCGGAUUGUAGGCUGCAACUCGCCUACAUGAAGCCGGAAUCGCUAGUAAUCGCGGAUCAGCAUGCCGCGGUGAAUACGUUCCCGGGCCUUGCACUCACCGCCCGU